rnacentral:rRNA from 1 species
UGCCAGCCGCCGCGGUAAUACGGAGGGUGCAAGCGUUGUUCGGAAUUAUUGGGCGUAAAGCGCACGUAGGCGGAUUGUUAAGUUAGGGGUGAAAUCCCAGGGCUCAACCCUGGAACUGCCUCUCAUACUGGUAGUCUUGAGGUCGAGAGAGGUGAGUGGAAUUCCGAGUGUAGAGGUGAAAUUCGUAGAUAUUGGGAAGAACACCAGUGGCGAAGGCGGCUAACUGGCUCGGUACUGACGCUGAGAUGCGAAAGCGUGGGGAGCAAACAGGAUUAGAUA